rnacentral:rRNA from 1 species
UACGUAGGGGGCAAGCGUUGUCCGGAUUUAUUGGGCGUAAAGAGCGUGUAGGCGGUUUGGUAGGUCCGUUGUGAAAACUCGAGGCUCAACCUCGAGACGCCGAUGGAAACCAUCAGACUAGAGUCCGGAAGAGGAGAGUGGAAUUCCUGGUGUAGCGGUGAAAUGCGCAGAUAUCAGGAAGAACACCAAUAGCGAAGGCAGCUCGCUGGGACGUUACUGACGCUGAGGCGCGAAAGCGUGGGGAGCGAACAGG